rnacentral:rRNA from 1 species
AUGGUGGUUGAUGCCCUUGCGGUCAUUCUUGAUAAGGCCAAAGCCUGUGGCCACCUUCGUGGCGUUGUCCCCCAUCUGGUUGGGGAGGGAGGGGUCUCCCUCCUCCAAUAUGCAAAUGACACCAUUGUUAUGAUGGAGGGCUCAGCGGCUGACAUCACCAACCUAAAGUUCCUCCUCCUUUGUUUCCAACAGAUGUCAGGGCUUACCAUCAACUUCGAUAAGAGCGAAGUGAUGGUCCUUGGCUAUCCUCCGGAGGAGGCGGUGUCCAUUGCGGAUUGGCUUAACUGCCGCCUGGGUUCCUUCCUCAUGACCUAUCUGGGGAUACCCAUUAGUGAUUCCAGACACACCAUUGCUGACCUCCGCCUGACGGUGACCCGGAUGCAGCACCGGGUUGAACCUUGGUGGGGACGUUGGUUGUCAAAGGCGGCGAGGGUGAUCCUCAUCAACUCUUCGCUGGCUAGCCUUCUCUGGUUUCUCAUGAGCUUCUACAGCCUACAUGAGACCCUCCAUCAGGAGGUUGCUAAAUACCAGUCACGGUUCUACUGGGCGGGCAUGGGAGACAAGCAGAAGUAUCAUAUGGUGAGCUGGCCGACAUCUGCAAACCCAAGGACCAGGGUGGCCUGGGGAUCCUGUCAUCUCGCCGCAUGA